rnacentral:lncRNA from 1 species
UUGGAAAUCAACUAGACACAUAUUUAGGCAGGCGCCGCAACGAUAUCCGCAGGAAAAAAGAAUUCGCGGUGGAUGGCGAGAGCCAGCAAGCAUGCAACCAAAGCCGGCCACGCGCAUCUAUCCACUCUCGCCAAACAUGUCACUACUCACUACCGGAUUGACGUCUGGGGAACGGACAAUAUAUACGGCUGAUGGAUGGGUGCGCAUGCCUUGGUUUGACGAAAGAAGCUUGGAAACUAAGCAUGCCCAUGUACGUACGCACCACGCCACACCGAUCAGGACGUGCCGGAAACGGCCGGCGGUAGCUAGCGAGCUUUUUUUUUACGGUGCUAGCAAAGCUAAUUAAGCUGGUCAACGAGCCGCGCAAGCUUUGUAUGACCGGGUAAAGAAAAGCCGGACGCGCGCGCGCGUGUACGUGCGAACGCGAAAGUGAUGACAUCUCGCUAGCUUAGCUUCUUCGGCCGGCCGGGCCACGCCCCUUGCAUUGCGUUGCGUUGCGUCGUCUGGUCAAUUGUUCCACGGUCGGUUAUGGGGUAGGGACACGGGCAUCUUUGAUUAUCUCGGUUUAUUGUUUGCUACUCUCCAAGUACGUAAUGCCAGUGCGAACAUUGUGGCUGUGGUGCAGGGGAUGACGAAGGCGGUGGACAAACUCUCAGUUCGUGAGGAUGUGGGUCAGCAAGAAGCAGGAGACGGGGAUGGAGAUAUUGCACGACUGACACUGGGCCAGACUGAGGUUGGCAUCAACAAUCCACUGCCAAAUCAAGCGCCGCACGAGUCUGGUAUGCAGAAGGAAAAAAUGCUGAGGAAGAAGUUGCUGAAAAAGAAGAGAUGGGCUGCGGCUUCACGGGCGCCCGGAAGCUUUCUGGAGGCAAAGGAAUUGAUCCUGGGGAAGAAAAGGGAGUACGCGGAAGAGGACAUACAGCUGCCGAUAGAGGAGAAAGAAGCGGAAGAGCAGCAGAACCAUGAGGUGCUCCCAGAUGAGGUGGAGGCACCUACUGCCAAGAAGACAAAGCACACUAGAGAUGGGACACAGAGGAGCGUUAAGGAGGAUGGGAGUGCGACCAGCCUUGGGGCCGCUGGCGAACUGACGGAGCCUGAUGAGCUCCGUCAGGAGCCAUGAAUUUUCUGGCCUAGAACUGUCGUGGACGGGGGAAUACCACGACAGUUCGUGAGCUGGUAGGUUUUUCCUAAAAAUUGCAGCUACAGUUAGUGUUUUUGUGUGAGACGAGGCAGAAUAAAGAUAAAGUUAGUCGCCGCCUCCGUAAUCGUUUAGGUUUGUCGGAUUUUGCUGGAGUUGAUAGUGAGGGUACGAGUGGGGGUCUGGCACUAUUUUGGCAUGAGCAGUUCGAUGUCGAUGUAAUUUCCCUGAAUAAAAACUUUAUUGAUGUUUAUAUCCGUGUCUCCUCUGAUGCUCCUCAGUGGAGGCUGUCUUGUAUAUAUGGUGAGCCGCGGACUGAGGAUAGAGGUCAGGUCUGGGCUGAGCUGUGUAAUAUGCGAAGCAAAUCUGCCCUGCCGUGGUUGGUCAUGGGGGAUUUCAAUGAGUCUCUUUGGCAAUGUGAACAUCUGUCAGCGUGUCCGCGCCCUGAAUAGCAAAUGAGGGCCUUCAGAGAUACACUGUAUAAUUGUGGUCUGAUGGAUCUGGGGUACUCCGGUGUACCGUUCACAUAUGACAAUAGAAGAUCUGGAACCAGGAAUGUCAAGGUGAGACUUGACCGAGCUGUGGCGGAUGAUGAGUGGAGGGACAUGUUUGGUCAUGCCAGGAUUGAACAUCUGAUUUCCCCGUGCUCGGAUCACAACCCGAUCCUUGUCAGAGUGGAAGAGGAUAAAGCCAUGGGGCCUAGGAAAUUAAGCAGACAGUACGAGCUUUUUUGGGAAAGAGCUGCUGAGCUGCCGGAACUAAUUUCUGAGGCCUGGAGGGAGACGCAGGCGGCAGGUGAUUUGGGCAGGAUUUUUUCCGGGCUUGAAGAGGUUAUGAGGAAACUGCAGUCGUGGAGUAAAGGCAAAUUUGGUAACAUUACAAAGGAGCUGGACACCGAGAGGGACAGAUUGUCACGGUUGUAUUUGAACAAUGCUGAUGCUAGAGAGAUCAGGAAGGUCAAUGACCGUAUCAAUGAGCUUCUCUACCAAGAGGAACCGCUGUGGAUGCAGAGCUCACGUAUCGACUGGAUUAAAGCGGGUGAUCGAAAUACCAAAUUCUUUCACCAAAAAGCUGUUUGGAGAGCUAAACAGAAUAAAACUGGGAAAUUAUGCGAUGAGAACAAUAACUGGGUUGAGGACACGCCUACGUUGGAGAAGAUGACCACCGAUUAUUUUCGAAAGAAUUUUAAACAAGGACCAGAGUUUAGACCCAAGACCGAUUGUUGAAAUCCUGGAGCAUAAAAUCUCAGAGGAUAUGAACAAGCAGCUGUGCAAGGAGUUCACAAGGAAGGAAAUUGGGGAUGCUUUGUUUCAAAUUGGGCCGCUUAAAGCGCCGGGGCCGGACGGUUUCCCAGCUAGGUUCUAUCAGCGUAAUUGGGCUGUCCUUGAGGAGGACGUGGUCCAGGCUGUGUUGGGCUUCUUUAGUUCUGGCCAGAUGGCGAAGGGAGUAAACAACACUUCUAUUGUGUUAACUCCAAAGGUGGCCCAGCCCAAAACCCUGAAGGAUUUUCGGCCCAUCUCACUUUGCUCAGUGUUGUACAAAAUUGUGGCCAAAUGUUUGGUCAACAGAUGGAGGCCGCUGCUGGAUGAGAUAAUAUCGGAGAAUCAGAGUGCCUUUGUGCCGGGACGCCUUAUCACAGACAAUGCUUUGAUCGCCUUUGAGUGCUUCCAUUUUAUCGAGCAUAGUAAUAACCAGAAUAACCAAUUUUGUGCGUACAAAUUGGACCUGUCGAAGGCCUAUGACAGGGUUGAUUGGGAUUUCCUCCGUCUAACACUGGACAAGGUGGGUUUUGCAAAGAAAUGGAUUGAUUGGAUUAUGGCUUGCGUCACAACAAUUAACUAUUCUGUCAAGUUUAACGGCGUGCUCCUGGAGGCGUUCACGCCCACCCGGGGACUGAGACAAGGGGACCCACUUUCUCCUUUCUUGUUCCUGUUUGUGGCUGAUGGCCUUUCGGCGAUCCUGAAAAGGGAAGCUAGACUGAAUAAUAUUGCGCCGCUGAAGAUUUGCAGAAGUGCGCCUGCGGUGUCACAUCUUCUUUUCGCCGAUGAUACUCUGCUCUUUUUUAAGGCGGAGGCCGAACUAGCAAAGACAGUGUAGCAAGUUCUCAACAGCUAUGCUUGCGGCACUAGACAACUGAUUAAUUUCUCUAAAUGCUCCUUGUUGUUUGGGAAAGAGUGUGAUGCGGGCACAAUUCAGGAGGUUAAGAAUAUACUCCAAGUGGAUCAAGAGGGAUUUGAGGCCAAGUAUCUGGGGUUGCCAACUCCAGAAGGGAGAAUGAAUAUGGGAAAGUUCCAGACUUUGCAAGAGAAGCUUAGUAAAAAGGUGCUGCAAUGGGGUGACAAUAGACUCGUAGGGUGGGAAAGAGGUGAUGAUCAAAGCGGUAGCACAAGCCAUUCCUACGUACGUCAUGGGGGUGUUCAAGUUGCCUACGGGUUUAUGUGAAGACCUAACAAAGAUUAUCAGGGAUUUUUGGUGGGGAGCGGAGCAUGGGAAAAGGAAAACCCAUUGGGUGGCUUGGAACGCCCUGCUCCGGCCAAAGAAUAUGGGAGGGCUGGGCUUUAGAGACAUGGAAACUUUUAACCAAGCCCUCCUGGCCAGGCAAGCGUGGCGUUUGAUUGAUAAGCCCGAGUCCUUUUGUGCUAGAGUUCUGAAAUCUAAGUAUUAUGCCCAUGGAUCGCUGGUGGAUACCGUCUUCACUGAGAAUGCUUCUUUCUCUUGGCAAGCGAUCGAGCAUGGCCUCGAACUGAUUAAGAAUGGUGUCAUUUGGAGAAUAGAUAACGAGCAGAGUGUGCGCAUUUGGAGAGAUCCAUGGAUCCCGCGUGAUUAUGGCAGACGUCCAAUAACACCAAAGAGAAAUUGCCGACUCAAAUGGGUUUCUGAACUGAUGACUCCUGACGGCAACUGGAACAUGGAGAUUUUGACUACUUUCUUUUUCCCGAUGGAUAUUGAUUAUAUUGUCAGGAUUAAACCAUCGCCAAGAAACGAUUGCGACUUCUUAGCUUGGCAUCCGAACAAAAGAGGACAUUUCUCGGUGCGGUCUGCUUACCAUCUUGGUCGCACCCUGGCUACUGCUGGACAGAGUUCCGGAGCUACGAGUAGUAGGCCGGAUGGAUCCAACACAAAAUGGGAAGCCAUCUGGAAUGAGAUUGUGCCGAGGAAGGUUAAUAUCUUUGCUUGGAAGCUUGCAAGGGACGCCCUCCACACUGAAGUUAAUUUUUGCAAGCGAAAAAUGAGGAAGUUUGCUACUUGUAGGAUUUGUGGUGCAGAUCAGGAGGAUUCUUUUCACGCCUUAGUACGUUGCCCCAAUGCCCGUGGUCUGUGGCAGACCAUCAAGGAGUGCUAGGAUUUGCCGGACGUAAAGGAGUGGCAGCAUUCAGGCCCUGACUGGUUCCUGGAGGCUAUCUCCGACAUGGAUCAGGUGAAGGCUGCAAUGUUAUUCAUGCUGCUUUGGCGCAUUUGGCACGUACAUAAUGACAUCACGCAGGAUAAGGUCCCUGCCCCGGUUGAGGCAUCGAAGCGCUUCCAAUGCAGUUACAUGGAUUCCCUGUUGAUUAUCAAGCAACACCCUGAGGUUGAGGUGGUCAAGGGCAAGCAGGUGGCCUCUUAUUCUGCCAGAUCGAUGAAACAUAAAAAUCGAACCGGUCAGAAAGCUGCUACGGAUGACAUAUGGAUCCCACCGGACGUGGACUCUGUCAAAUUGAGCGUUGAUGGAUCUUUUUCACCGGAUGAUGGCUCUGCUGGUGUUGGUCUGGUGCUACGGGACCAUCAAGGAGAAAUCAUUAUCUCGACAUGUUGAAGUAUCCAAUGGUGCAAUGAUGCCCUUGAGGCUGAGCUUCUGGCAUGCGAGGAAGGCCUUCGUGCGGCCAUUGGGUGGUCUGACAAGAUCAUCAUCCUUGAGUCUGACUGUGCCGAGGCCCUCUCUCUGAUUAGUGCCAAGUUACCACAUAGAUCACCGUAUGUCCUGUGUGUGCGGGAGAUCCGAAGACUUUUUGAUGCGCACCCAAUCAGUGUGGGCAAGAUUAAUAGGAACCAAAAUUGUGUCAGCCACAUCCUGACGAACCUUGCUAGGAGUAAUAAUUAUACCUCUAGUUGGAUCCGGCAUGAGCCGGACCAGAUCUUAGACGCCAUGAUCUCGGACUGUAAUCGUUUUAACUGAUUAAUGAAGUUUCUUUUUAAAAAAAAAGUACGUAACGUCAUCGGCCGACCUGCCAAAAGAGAUAUCGAUCGAUCUCGAACUCUCCACGUACGGUAGGUGGUAGGCAAGGAUCGGGCCGGGUGACCUCAGGUAUACUGGCUUCUCAACCACUGCCGUCGCUCUUGCGUCCCGGCCGGAUAUGAUCGAUAUGGUUUCUAUCUGUCGUGGCUAGAUACUUGCAUUAAAUUUUACAUAGACAACAUUUCAGUAUCAUAUCAUAAUGAGCACCCGAUCGAAGUACCCAAGCAAGCUGUAGCUAUCACUGCCAUGAGGCAGCCAGAACUUCAUGGUCGUGGGAUUCGGUGAUGAGACGAAUUCAUGAGAUUAGCUUAGUUUAAACCGUACAUGGCUCAGCGGUUGCAUCCAGGAGAGACGUACGGCACGUGACAACGGCAGGCGCGGGCAGCUAGCUAGCUACCCAUGGGCCAAGACCCAACAACUUCGCCAUUUUCUGCUAUACAGUAUAUAUCACUUUGAUGCGUGCAAGGACGUACUAACAAAUGGCCAGCCGGACUGGUGAAAGGAUAGAAAAGCCUGUGCACGUACUGAGAUAUGCGCUUUUACUCCCUGUUCACGCUGCACAGAGCAUGGCCACAACGUUUAAUUUCACUCGCCCGGUUCCAGCAGACAGCAUCGAUCCGGCCGGGCCAGACUUGGGUUUUACCCAGCGCGCAUGCAUUUGUGUCCCCCCACUCCAACGCUUCUUUGACCCCAUCAUGGCGUGCAUGCACCCCCUGCGCAGAUUCGAGAUUCCAUGCGUGCAUGUCCCCAUAUAUGUCUCGCAUCGAUCACAUCUCCUCACGCCCCGUACGUCUGGCUACGUACUGUGCAUUCUCUGAAGCACGAACGCAGCAGGCAAGCAAGCGUCGGCCGGCCGGUCAUUAACCGAGUGCCUAACAACAUGAUGAUCUCCAUAUAUAUCCCAGGGUUAAUCGCGCGCCGGCCGGCCACGUUCGAAAAGACUGAAACCACGCACGCACACCGGCUGGGAAACGAUCGACCAUCGUACGGUGGCCACACGGCACGAAAAGCCGAAAGUACUGCCCGUGCACGCGUGCCCACUGCUCACCCGGCCCGGACCGAUCGGUGAAUCGAAUCUACAGCGCCACCGUGGUAGCCAAUGGGCCAUCACGACUUUCUAGUUCUCGUCGGCUGGGAUCCACCGGGAAGAGAGGCAGCUUUUCUUUCUUACUUGGCUCAUGAGUACGCGCCAGAUACUGGAGUAUUUACUGGAGUACUCGCUGCCGUUGUGCCAGUGACCUGGGCAGCAGCCGGGGAUGGUACGGACAUGGUCUGUUCCCCUCCACAAUCCUGGCCUGCACUGCAUGUACAGCUCGAUCGCUCAGCUAAAGGAGAAGGCACAGUACUACUGCCACUACUAUGCAAAGUUUUAUGCAUGCAUGGCUGCCGGCCGGUCGCUGGCUGGCAACGAAACAUCAAACCAAUGCACCAUCCAUGCACACACCCUGACACGCAGCUUCUGCAUGCAGAGAGAGAGGGGGGGGGGGGGGGGGGGUAGGAGGGGAUCAUUGACACAGGUCCCUGGCAGCCUGUGGUGUCGCGCGCGCAAGGAGGCCCAUCUUUGCAGCUGCAUGCCAAUACGCCAUGCAUUGCAUCCCGUCGUGGCGAAUACGCCAUGCAUUGCAUCCCGUCGGGGCGUCCUACCAUGUCCCUGCCACGUACGGCCAGCUAGAGUGCCAGCAAAUUAACAGAGUACCGUCAAUGAGGUAAAAUGAUCGAUCGAUCAAGGUGCACUGUCACUACGCCGUGGGGGGGCCACCACCACGCCGAAACUAAAAUUCAUUGCCUUGUAACCAGUACUAGCUAGCUAAGGCACCGAGUAGUGCUACUAGGUACUUAGCCAUGCAUAUGCAUCUACCCACCGAGAUUGUAAUUUUCUCGGUCUGACUUAGAAAUAGUUGUUCACCAGUCGACGGUAUAUCAUAUCGAUUCGAUUAUGAUUUCUUAAUUACUUGUACUUGUAUAAAUCUUGCACCAAUAUCAGUUAUUUGAUCGGAUAGUCCACUCACAAAUAGUUGUUUAUCAGUACUUAUAUAAAUCUUGCACUAAUAUCUGUUAUUUGAUCAGAAAAUUGGUAUCAUGAACUUAGUUAUUUCUCGGUCCCCUAGAAGUAGCAAAGCCGUAAAAAAAGAAAAACGGAUUUUUUAUUGAUGAAUUGUCUGUUUUUUAGUUAGAAACAAAUCGACGUGCUUGGCCAGCAUCAGAUCUUAAUCCAACGGCAGCAUAUUGGAGAAGAGAUAUUAGAGAUGACUCUAUGAUCUCAAUCCAGCGAUUCUGAUGAGAUUUAAAACUUUUGCUUCAAACCAGCCAACUGAGAUAUAUAUCCACAUCCAAACAAAAACUCAUCACUUACACGUUUCACCCUCCCAUUAGUUACAAAUCGCCCUUAUAAUUCCUUCGUGCAUGCCAUGGUACAAAUGAAAUUGGUCGGAGAGAAGAGAUCUUAGAGAUGUGUCGUCUUUGUGCGCUAUGUGAUCGAUCGAUCGAUCGAUAUGCAUGCAUGCAUGCAUGGGCAAACGCAAUAUCGAUCGAUCAUUCAUUCACACCCGUCCCGCGACACGCGGUACACACUAUAUAUGCACUGUGCAUUAGUAGCUAGUAGCAAUGAUCGCAUAUUCGCAUCGGGUGCGGACUGUGGCUCCUAGCCAUAGCAGCACUACUGCGCACGAUUUACGUACACUACGUUAGUAAUUACUCCAACCCAGGACCAGACAAAUGCAGGCGAGGCCAGGCAAUUCAUCGAUCGUUCGAGAUCACGAGGCCGCGGCCGGACCGGCACGGCACGGGCACAGCUGGCACUGCGCUGAUGCGUGGUGUAUACAGUAGCUGCCAUCACGUAUGUCACAUAACGUGGUAUAGCAAUGGUCCCCGGCCGGCCGACGGUGCGUGCAGCUAGCGUAGCCGACCCGUUCCAAGCGCGGACCGAUCAUAUCGGUCGGUCUCCGUCGGUCGAUCGGGCUCCCUCGGGCGCGUGCGUUGAUCGGUCGCACAGGCAAGCAGCACGUAAGGCGAUAGCAACCACUCGUUCGGACGUGCCACCGUCGCCUAGACUAGAUGGGACGGGAAAUUUUCAGUAGAUGCAUCGGCCCCAUGCAUGCUCUGUGCGUGCACGUCUUCCACGGCACACGGAACGAUCCGUCGCUAUAUAUGGAAGGCCGCCGGAAACUAACAAGCCAGCAGUCACGGGACACGGGCUGUACGUGCGUGGCAUAGACGUCCGUAGGUACUGGCUACGCGAUUUCCUAGGUGUGGACGGCCGGACACGCCGGGGAGAGAGAGUCAGAUCAGGGGGCCAUGUACGAGCGCGCUUUAUAUUUCCUGGCAACGUACGGCCGAGCGAGAUCGGACCGCACUCGACGGACCUAGCUUAGCGAUGCCCCGUGGCUAUAUCCUGCGAAUACGACUUUACCUCACCAUAAUUUGAUAGAUAUGCUCUCUAGCUAUAGCUAGACCGUGUAGCAUGCAUGCGAAUGCGAAGCAUAUGAUUAUCAGCGCACGACGCAUUUGACCAGGAGGGCAGAACGGAAACUGACAAUUCAAGGGAGGGGGAAAAAAAGCAAGUCGCCUACGGAUGAUAGUGCACGUAUAUAGGAUAAUGUUAGGCAUACACAUGAUUGCCACUUAACAAAUCAAUCUACUGUAGGCCGUUCAAAGCCACGUCACUGCAUGCGCGCGCGAUGGAUGGAUCUGUCAUACAAAUUCCACCAUUUCUGGCCCAGGGAAACGGAAAUCCGAGAUGGGGGAUCAGGCGUACUAUACGCGUUAAUCGCAAGCCUUGUCUCUUUGCGCGCACAUUGAUCUGCAGGUGGCCUGCUCGUACUGCGCGUCACGAUCCACAACGAAAUUCAAGGAGCAGAUUCAUUAGAAUUAGGAUACUAGCUACCAGUUGUGCGCGUUCUAGAAAAGAGAUCACUCUCGCCAGCUACUUUAGUUAACUCGCAACUAGUAGUACGGUGUAACAUGAUGUUAUGUGAUGCAGAUUUAUAUAUACUCUGAGUUUUGGAGCAUCCACGACUCUAAUUUGUUAAUUGUUUUUUCAUGUCAGACACAAAAACAAAUCCCCUUGGAGUAGAUUUUCGUUUACGUAUUGUUUAUUCAACACUUCUACGUACAAAAAGGCACCUCAGAUAUGACGAGGUGAAUGCAUACGCUGUUGGCUGGUACUGGUUCAUGUGGCACCGUUCACCUCGCUCCUGUUUUUUUCUUUCGAAAAGGCGAAACUCCCCGCCUCCCCGGCAUCUGCAUCAUCACCUCACUCCUGGUGCGUGAGCUGUUGAAGUAGACAUCACCGUCCAGAGGCGCCGAUGACAUGACACGACUGUGGAUUAGGGCAGAGCCAAUACACAGUGCGUGUGGCAGGGUGUGAUCACGCUGUUCCCGUUGCGGAUUUUAAUGCACCCGGAAAACAAGGUAAAAGUUGAAAGGAAAAAAAGAAGUGCUGAAAAACGGCACGAGGAGCGCAGAUGGAGUGAUGGACGCGGGCGAUAUGAUGAUAUCCGUGCCAAUCUAUGGUCCACCGACACCUGCCGUAGCAGUGCUCAACUACUGGUACGUGACCUCCGAUCGAUUCAAGGUGGCAAGGACGAGCAGCAUGCAGUCACGACCACUCGUACUGCUAAGAUGAUCCCUCAGGCUCUCAUCGAUGCCAGCCGUGCAUGCAGUUGCUCGCCACACCGGACACCACAGCAGUGACCAACACUGUGCUGAUGUGUACAUACAUGCACCAGCACAUAAAUGCCACUCGAAGCGUUUCACAGGAAAGGGAACCGGCUGCACUGUUCUUUUUUUUUUUCUUCCUCCAGAAGCCAUGUGCGAAAUUGAAUUACCCCGAUCGAUACUGGACGUACAUGCAUGUACCGCCUCUAUAUAGAAAGAGAAACGGACGGCUGGUAGUAUAUAGUAGUACUGGCGCGACCCGGUGGCAGGGAAGGAAUACGUACGCGUAAGUAGCGGCACAUGCAGAGAGACAGUAGAAGCUGGUGAAAACUAUCGUUAAAUAUUCAGUUUUGGCAAGUCGUCUGGCCAGACUAUCCAGCUGCGCAGCGCAUCACGCAUGAUGUACUAUCAUCCUCCAAUUAAUACGGGGCACGGUGGAGCAGCACUAGUGUCACCUCGAUCAGGUACUACUGCUGCCAAUCUGUCAUUUAUACUUGGUGUUGCUCGGAUCGGAUUCGCACCGGCACUUAAAUGCGCCCAAUAUAUGUAUGCACUGGGUGGUGGGUCAGGGUUACCACGGCGUCGCCCCUCAACCGCCGGGCUCGAUUACCGGACCUCACGAGGAGUUGGCUCUUGCGCUGCGGCCGGAAAUGCAUGCAACGGAAGACUCCUAAAGUCGACGUAUGGUCAUCAUCCUACGGUAAACGAAAUGUACGGCGUGGUGGGCUCGAUUGACAGUGAGAUGGUGGAUGGCACGGCACAUCCUCCGGUAUGGUAGCUUGACCUUUCUUCUUUUUUGCUUUGUGAAUUCAAUACGCCGUCAAACUGAUGCUACUCGCGAAAACAGAGAUGUGGUUUAGGCUAAUCUAAUGAGUUGCGCAGGGUAUGGCUUUGGCCGCUUUGGUCUACCCAAAGACUGACGUGCAACCACAACCAUUCCCCGGAGGCCGGUGCAAAUUCACAUGAGAAGGAAAGUGAGGUUACCUUUGUGUGGUUACCAUAUCUUCCCCGCCCAGAUAGCCUACGGUCAAUGCUAAGCUGUCGUCUUCACCAUAGGAAACUCGUAGAGAUCCACACCCAGUCACUUUUCCUUCCCGUAAAGAAAUAUCGAUAUACUAACCACAAUGCAAAUAAAGCAUCGAGCAGUAGCACCCCAGAGGCGGGUGGUCCCAGUGUCCUCUUCCCGAAUCCCACGUCUCGUCUCGUCUCGUCUCCCCCCAUCGCUGCGUGCCUGCGUCGGAAAGCAGGAGCAAAGCCCGGACGAAUAUGGCAAGCGAUCAAAUUAUUAAAGCGGUGAGAAGAGAAAAAGAAAAAAGAUGGAAAAGUCAAGGGGGGGCAUCUAUCCACCCACGCAUCCGUGGUUGUUUGCUUGCCUGUUUGUCCACUCUCCCCGUAGGCCAGCCAUAGCCCCACCUCGUCAAGAGAGAUCGUCAAGAUGAACAACCUUUGUCCCCUUUAAUGGCCACCCGGCCCGGACGGACCCCACGCCGACGCGACGCGCCUUUUCCUCCCACUCGCCGGGGCCGCUAACCCGAACGCCCUGCCCUGCUGCUGCCAUAUAUAUAACCUCGUCUUCCUCCCGUGCCGUUCUCCCAACUCACGAGAGUACGUGCGCCACAAAGUGCGGCGUGAAAAAGGAAAAGAAACCACCUCUCUCUCUCUCUCCCGUCCGUUCCAUCACUGCACCCCGCAACAAAACGCCAUCCUUCUUGAUUUCUUGAUCUGAGGUGGUGUUGUUGGUGGUGGUGGUGCUCCUGGUCCUAUUAGUGAAGCCGGCCGGUGCAUAGUGUGAGAUGGCCGUGCAGGCGCAGUACCUCGCCCACGCCUUCCCCCAUGACCCCCGCGCCAUCGUCAGGUCCGUCUCUCCUCCCUCCAUCCGUGUCGCGUGCAUGCGUUCUCUCUCUCUCUCGCACUCAUGCGCCUUGCGCUCCUCACCUUCCUUCCUCCCCCCGCUGUCUAUUUAUCCAUUCCGAGAAGAACUUCCCCAUGCCCGCCUUAUUACGGUUGUUGAUUCAUCCCUUCCUACGUUUCCUGUGUGUCUCACAGGCAGCCUGCUCUCGACAACGCCUCGGUGUUUCAGCUGGACGAUCGCAGCCUCGCCGCCGCGGUGCAGCAGCAGGCGGCGGCGGGCAACACGGUGUUUAGCGACCCGCGCAGCGAGCUCACCUGCAACCAACAACACAACGGCGAUACCGGUUUCUUCGUGCCGAGGAAGCGUGCGCGGGUGGGCGGCGACCACGGGACGCCGCCUUUGAUCAUGGAAGGGCAACGCGCGCUGCUGCCGCCGGUGCCGCAGGCGCGAAGCAGCAGCAGGGCCGUGGGCUCCGGCGCGGCCUCCACCAGCGGGCGCCCUUCCGUGCCGGCCGUCUCGCAGGGCCUCUUCGUGUCUCAUCUCUAUCGCCAGAGCGUCGAGAUCGACGCGCUCGUCCGCCUCGAGGUGCGCUGAUUUCCCGGCAACUUUGUUGAUUUGAUCAAGUUCCCCGUCUUCUUCCCCAACGGUGUUUGAUUCGGUGUUGGGGGAUCCUACGUACGUGCAGAAUGAGAGGCUGCGGGCGGGCCUGGAGGAGGCGCGGCAUCGGCACGUCCGCGCGGUCGUGUCUGCCGUGGAGCGCGCCGCGGCGCGGCGGAUGCGUGCUGCGGACGCCGAGCUGCAGCAGGCGCUGGGCCGCAACGCCGAGCUGGACGAGAAGCUCCGGCAGAUGGGCGCCGAGGGGCAGGCCUGGCUCGGCAUCGCCAAGAGCAACGAGACCGUGGCCGCCGGCCUCCGCGCCACGCUGGACCAGCUCCUGCAGUCGCCGCCCUGCGCCGAGGGGGGCGGCGACGCCGAGGACGCGCAGUCGUGCUGCUUCGUGAGUGACCGAGGAGGAGGAGGGAGGAAAGCGUGCAAGGCGUGCGGCGGCGCGGACGCGUGCGUGCUGCUGCUGCCGUGCCGGCACCUGUGCCUGUGCCGCGAGUGCGAAGCGGUGGCCGAGGUGUGCCCCGUGUGCGCGGCCACCAAGAACGCCUCGCUCCACGUUCUCCUCCCCUGACCUGGUGCGGCAGGCCAGCGUGUCAAUUCAGCUGCUCGUGAUAUCCAAGGUCUUUGUCACCGGCCCAAAUUACGGAAGUUGUUUAUUUUCUCCGGCCCUCCCUCCCUCUCUCUUUCUCUCGUCUCCAGUCUGGGUUUUUUCUGUGGAUUGUCUCCCAAGAUCGAUACCCAAUCCGGCCAUAUUUUCGUGGUACGGUAUUUGGAUCAGUGUUGUUGAAACGGUGAAUAUAUUUUAGUUUUGUCGUUGAGGCAAUUAAAUUAGUUCUUCGAGUCGUUUUCUCUUUGCUUGCGUUUUUCUAUAUACGCAGCAGGUGGGAUUUUGCUUAAUCAUCACUCCCCGUGAAUUGGUCUGCCACAAGAUGCUGCAAGCAAGCAUAAAUACAGUUUUCUUCAGUUCGCUAGGGGUGUUUUGCUAACACCAAGAUUAUACCCAAUCUAAACAGGCUUUUUGUCGUAUCGGCAUACUUGCUAGCAAUAAUUCCGCUGGUAACGCAAUGCAGUCUGCACUACUAAUUACUAUGGAUUAUUCUUUCGGUACGUUCACGUCGUUGUUUCGGUCAGAGACAAUUUUGUGAAGGUCGUGCGUGCAUGGACAGAUAAGUUCAGAAGUCACCGUACUUGUUUCUUUAUCCUACCUUGCUUGGCAAGCUUUCGCCCUGUCUCUACUUGCUAUAGCCAAGAGUCAGAGUAAACAUUUUUGGUUAGAUUGACGAUCGAAGAGAAAGGAUACAAUAAGCCAUGCGUUCAUGUAAAUCUCGAGCUAGUUACAGGCUUACUGAUAUAUGAGACGAUCAAUUUAGGCUUAACUAUAAUUCUAAAUGCUAAGUACUCCCCGCACGUUAUCCUGAAAAAUUAUGUUUUCACGUCUAGACAUGAUGUUAGAAACAAAUGAUAAUAUCAUAUGAUCAAAAUAUCAAAGAUAUAUGAAUACUCUAAGGCCAAACGACAUCAUCAUCCAAACGAUAGAAGCAAUUUUGAUGUACAUGAACAUUAACAACUUUAAGGAAAUCGAAACAGAAGCUUUAGGAUCCUAAAUAUUCGCAGUUUUUAGAAAGAACGACAUGCAUAUCAUGAAAAUAUGGAUACUCGGUGAAAUAUUUACAUCCAAUGUGGAGAUGAAAAAAUUUAGGAGAUAAAAGGUUGAAUCAUAGGAUUUUUUUUCGAAAAGGGGAAGAAUCCCCGGCCUCUUGCAUCAAUCGAUGCACACAGUCAUAUUUUAUUACGAAGUUAUAAGAGUCUUACAAAUCACUGAUUAGAUAUCGUGGAAACAAAAAUGAGCUAAUGAAACAAGUUCAACAUAGUGAGUCUAUGCAUCUAGAAGACGACUAAUACACUGCCAACCAGCCUGGCUGAAGAUAUCCCGAGAUACCAUCUCCAGACGGUUGCAUCCAAUAGCCAAAGGUUCCCGCCGAUGCGAGGAGGUAGGAAGGACCAUAGUCGAAUCUAAUGAGUGGCUUUGAAGAUGACCUGCAAAAAUGAGCAACUCUAGAUCGAUUAAAAACCACAUCGUUUCUGCAGUUCCAAAUAGCCCAAUAGAAAUCCGAAACUCCCAUCCAAAUAUAUAUGAGCUUUAAUCUUUUUCUCAACCCCAUUAAGCCAAUUCCCAAACAUAUUAGUAAUCAAUGUCGGUGGAGGAAUAUUAAAAGCAAUAAAAAUAAUGCGCCAGACAAUACGAGCAAAAGGACAGGAAAUAAAAAGAUGUUGAAUACUCUCGUCAGAGUGAAUCAUAGGUAGCCGAAAUGAAUUGCUUGUGGGCUACAACACAUGACGUGGAUGGUGAUGUAGACACUUUGCAUGUGGAACUUGCAAACAAAAUGCAUUUUAGUGAGUAUCAACUAUAUAGAUAUUAUACUUGAUGAAUAUUUACAUGCAACAUGAAGAUCAAAAAUCAUAGGAGAUAAAAGGUUUAGUCGUAGGACCACCGAAAUGAAUUGCUUGUGGGCUAGAGUCCUAUGACACAUGAUGUCGAUGGUGAUGUGGACGAUGAUGUGGAGACUUUCAUGUAUAGUUUGCAAUUUUAGUGGGGAUAACCUUUUAAAAAAAAAAACGUUACCAUAAUAUACUACUGGUUGUUAUGUGCAUCAAUCGAUUCGGGCCGAAGGGAUCCCCAGUUUUGGAAUUUUUUUUUUUUUGUAAAUCUCGAACUUCAACUGGGUAUGGAAUCACCUGAUUUUAGAGGAAAAAUCAGUCUCCCAUCUAUCAUCAGGACGUAGUUCGAAGGAAUCCAGAUCAUAAUUGGAGAAACAUAUAUGAUGCACUGUGAAUUGGACUUCUAGUGCACUCGAAUUGAUUUAUUAUAUUUUUAUAAUAUUGUAAAUAAGGAAAACAAGACAAAAAACAACAUUUACGUGAUAUGGUCCAAAUUUUUAAAAUUUAAAUUUGAAACACGUAGGUUGAGAAACAAAAUUACAUAUCCUUUUGUUAAUUAUAGGUAGCCUAAUUGGGUUGCGAAUUUGAUCCAACUAAUACUACGAACAAGACAAAAUUUCUCUCUUUGUGCUUCUUGAACCCUGUUUGGAAAUUGGAUUGUGUCUGUUUCUGGUUCAUAAUUUUGCAAUGGUUGUAGAGUGAACAAUCGAUGUUGGAUAUGACGGUGCAUGUUUUCAUCAUAGAAAGUACAUGUAAAUGUAACCUCGUGACGUUCAACUAGACUACUAUGCACUGUUCUCUACCUAAGCUUACUGUGUGAACUUAACAGUCGAUGGAGCUCUACGUCUCCUCUCCAUCUUCCUCCUCCCUCGCCGCCCCUUUGUUCAUAUCCUCUCCUUGUAGUGUCAUUUUUUUUCUCUUUCUCGCCGCCGCCUCCACCCAUCCCAUGCUCUCUUCAGCACAAAAUCAGAGCCAUCCCUUCGACACAAGAUCUGACGCAGAUUCUCUGACUAAACACACUGAAAUGCCAAUGACCCAAAGUCAUGGUGGGUUAAGUCAGAGAUCAAUCCCUUCCGCACCAGAUCUUAUAUGCUCCUUUCUGUCAUUUGCUCAUCUCCUCCCAGUUGACGACAACGGGAGCCUUCGCUCUACCGAACAGACAUUUUGUUUGGAGUUAUCAACAAAUUAAUAAAUUGAAAUAUCAUUUCCAAUUCUUUAUUUGAAGGAAAAACCAACAAAAGUGAAAAUUAUAUCUUUUCAACAGUAGAAGUCCAUGGAAAUUUUCCAUACGUUCUGCUUGGAAUCCGAGUCAGAAUCUUGACUCACAACGUCUUUGCUCUAGCUAGAAAAGCAUGCGCAAGUUGUCCGUACAGUGCGGAAGGAUCAAAUGAGCUGCGUACGUCCCGUGAGGGCUGAUCUCUGCCACUGUUCUCGAUCGCGCGUAAUUAAAUGUCUCCGGGCGGUACGCACAGACGCUGUCUCCACAAAUCUGACGCGCUGUGCUGUACUGUACUGCUGUGUUGCGCCUCUCCCAAUUAAACGUCGAUCUCACGCAGUACUACGCGACUUCGUUUUGAUUUAAUGGUGGGAAUUACCACCACCGACGGCGCCCCGAGGGCCGAGACUCUGACCGACCCGCCGGCCGGUACACUGCAGAUGCGUAAUGGUGCCGGCACAUCAAUAGCCCGUUGCUCAGCAGAUGAGAUAUUGAGAUCGAGUCGUCGGUCGAUCGACCCACUCGAUCUGGGGGGACCCGGACCUGCAGCAGCAGAGAUCUGCCUGUUCCCCUUCCAAAUUUCAAUUAAGUAGCUUCGUCGUGAUACGACGGUUUCAGCUGGCUCUGAUCAUUUUACCAGUCCGGUAUUGCGCACGAUGGGCAGUAAGCAGGAGUACUAUGCUCCACUAAUCGUGAAUCGUGUUCAACCCAAAUGGUGCUCGUUCACAUCACCACCGGACCAGUCACGGCUAGCAGCAUGCUUUGCAUCCUUGCCAAUGUGACGACGACGACGGGAAAUUGUAAGAGCAGAAAACCAUGUAUGACGACGAAGUACGGCGUCAACUCACCUCACUGUUACUACUUUUAUACGUUUCACGGCGCUUUCAACUUUUACCUUCUACACUAGCUAGCUAGAUAAUCUGACUUAUUUUCAAUUCCGCUCUCUGGAUAUCUGUCCAUCGAUCCAGCCGGAUACAUCCUUGCGUCGUCGUGCUCGAUCACAUCGAUCCUGGGUACGCUCUACGCUAUGUAGACAUAGGGAUCUGAUGUAUCUGAAGUUACCUAGCUAUAUGGAGAAUGAGGGAACACUUGAUAAUGGACGCGCGAUCUUUCUCCGUUGACCUCAUAUCGGCUUCCCGCCCAGUCGUUGCUAGGUUAAUUACCUCUUAAUUAAAUUCUUAAUUAAACCAUCGAUGCAUAAGAUUUUGAAACCACAUCAAUAUGGAAAGUAGCGGAUCGACAGGCUUCAAUUGUUAGGAUUUUAUUAUCUGCUCGUCUCCCGAAAAAUAUCCCCUUGCCCUAACCGCCACCCAGUCUAGAUUGCAUCUCGCCGGUUGGCCGGCCCAGUCCUAGAGCUGCAAAUUGGUGACACUCACGGUACCCUUUGAUUCUCCUUAGUUCAACCAAAUGAACUAAAAUUCUAAGAUGACAUAAUUUUUUAGAAAAUUAGUUCAUUUGUUUAAACUAAGGAUGGUCAAAGGGUACCCUGAGGGUCACCAUGUUGCACCUCUACUGGUCCCUAUCUCCUGCGCUUGGUGUUAUAGCACGUAUUUAAAGGAGAGGGUUUGAUCAACCGGCAGUGGCGCUAUGGUGGUGAUGGUAGCACUAUGCAGUUCAAAAAUAAGUUUUUCCAACUCCUCAUCGAUGGCGAUCUCGCCGAUGACAUUGAGGAGUACGGAAAAGUUGGUCGUUGUUCUUCUGAAGUGGUGGAUCUAGUUUUGUGUUUCUGUUUUACAGGCAAUCUAUGUGUCUUGGUUUAUUGGUUCCUUUUCCAAUCGGCAAGACUCGGCCAGUUUCGACCUCAUCGUGGAAUUAAUGAGGUUAGGUCUUUUCGGAUCCGUCUGGCGGGAUCUAAGAUGGUCAUCCAACCCUCUUUGUCACCUGGUGGAGCCAGCGCCCAACCACCCCGAGCAAUAACCCAGGCUCCUCUAAUUAAACCUUCCUUAACAAAAGUAAGCGAGAUGAUUAAAUUAGCAAAUACUAUGGGAAAAUUUUCGUUUAGAUAGAAUGGCAUAUAUCUUGCCCAUGCUCCAUGGAUCAGCUAGCUCCGCCAAUGCUUUUUAUCCGCGACGGUGGUAUGUAUCACCGUCGCCGGCGUCUUUUGUCUCUGACCCGCGGUGACUUCCUGACUGCUACAUCAACAACGUUUCCUAGCUCCGAUGUGGUUCAAAGGCCCGGAGGCAGCAUCGACCUUCGCUCCUGGCGCGCCACCAGCGAGUGCAGAAAGAAGAUAACGACGUUUACCUACAAAAACUUGAGGGUAAUUUUAUAAGACUUUAAAGAUGUUUCUGUAAGGGUUGGUUGAUUUGAAAUAUGACGUUGGUCUUCUCGCAAAAAAAAACCUAACCUAAUGUUAAGAAUCUUUAGGCCAAGUUGAACAUGGCUCUUACGAAUCUAGGAUUUCUAUUCCUACGAAACAAGUAUUACACAUAGCCAUAGGAAUAAAAUUAUAAGAAUUGAAAUUUUGUAGAAGUCUAAAAAUACUGUAAAGUGGAUGAACCGUGCUAGCAUAACAGUAGUACGUACAUAUGUGGAAGAACCCUUUCGAUCAUCAGCGUGCUUUGGAGCUGGAUUCAAGACCAUGCAUGGCUUAAUUGCACGUUGUGUAGUACUCGCAGUACUCUUUCAUUCGAAAAUAUAAUGCAAGAUUGACUUUUUAGGUUCUCCGAUUCACAAAUUUGACUUAAAUAUUGACUUAUAUACAAGUUAGAUACAAGUUAGUAAAAAAUAAUAUGAAUGCAAGUUUCUUUUUUGAUAGAGAACUGUAAGGGAUACCCAUACAGUAUAAUAGUAAUAGGAACCUAAAUUCGCAUCCGUGAGUAUUUGAACUCAGGUGUUGGGAUUAUACACCCACUUCCUAGCUCACUCCCUUGAAUUAAAGUAUUUUGCUAAAGGUAUAACUCUCGCAUGCCCAAUCCAUUUAUUUUCAGUGGUCAAUGUUAUUUGUCUGCUCUUAGUCAAGAUAAAGAUAUUUCUACAAUUUUUGUAUCACAGUAUCACACUAUACUACAUCUUUACAUCACAUAUUUUCUUAAUUAAUUUUAUAUUUGUUUCAGCAUUAGUUACAAGAGUUAUAUUAGGGCAACUCCAGCGGAACGAUCCAUUUUCGGCCGGGUCGGUCCGUUUCGGUCCGGAGACCCAAACUUCGGCUCAAUGGGGCGACUCAUUUCCGCGCAUUUUGGUCGGUCGGUCAGUUUCGGUCCGUCGAGAUGCAUUGCCAACCCAAAUCUGGUCCGAGUUUGCAUCGCGCGCGGACGGCGAAAACGAGCGCGGGAUCAAGGAGGCAUCGAGGAGGCCAAUGCGGCGGCAAGGAUCAAGAAGCCGAGGCCGCGAUGCUCGCCCAGGAGAUAAGGAUCUCAUGACGGCCGACUUGAGCUCCUAGACCCAGACAGGCGAUCUUGGUUCGAGGCCAGGAGGAAGAUGAUACAAGAUCGAGAUGCGCCCUCGCAGGACCGAGAUGCAGCCUCGCCAUCAAGUUGAUCGCCCUCAUUUGGAUCCAACGCAGGGAUUUUUUUCUCAUAAUGAACUAUGCUAGUCUGCCGGUGAUGCCUAAACAUUGAUAUGUUGAUUUGCUUGUUAAUUUGCUUGCUAUUUUGGCCAUCGGUUGCCCUCAAUUGUUGCAGGUGGCCAAUUAACACGGGAUCGGCCACGCAAACGGGAGGUAUUUGAAUUUGGGCGCCAAAUAUGGGUCGCAGCGCUGGGGAAGGGGGGGCGACCCAAACGGACCAAGGCCGGGCACGAAAGCGGUUUGCGUCCGACGCACGACCCAAAUGGACCGAUCCGAACAGAAAAAGCGGUCCGUUUGGAUCCCGCUCGAGUUGCCCUUCGUAACUUAUUAACGUGCGACGUGUUUUAUUGACACGUAGAGUCGUAGACAAAUUAAGAUGACUAGAUGUUGUGCGUGAAACAAAUAAAUGCGGCAGUGGUACACGUGCCUGCGUAGAUAUUGCACUCUAGAUUAGGGGAGCUUGCUGAGGCUGCUCAUAAUGGGAGUAACAUAGGUGGUAACAUAAGAACCAACUAAGCAAAUUUGGUGAUGUGACAUGCUAUUAAUGAGAAAAGAGAGGUUUGUACUCCCUCCGUCCAACAAAUGAUGUCUCAACUUUGACUAAAUUUGAAUGCAUCUAUACACUAAGUCAUGUGUAGAUACAUCCAAAUUUUGACAAACUUAAGACAUCUUUUGUUGGACGGAGAGAGUAGUAACUAGAUAUGUUAUCAUAACAUCACACAAACCAAUGUAAAAUGAUUUUACAACUUAAUAAAUGACACAAUUCAUGACACUACACAUAAGUUAUUAUCCACUAUGAAGGUAGUAAUUUAGACUAAUAACAUAACCACGUUACUAUUUUAAAUUACUCCUCACUGACCAGCAAGUUUGCGUUGCAGAUUAAAUAUAGUACAUGCAUGUAACAGCGUGUGCGACAACUGCAAAGGCAAUCCCAGAAUCUCACAAAACGAGCAAAGCUGUAAGCACUUUUUUCAUGCAGACGAAAGCUAUGACCCUGUCUUGCUCUUGAGGUUUCCUUUGGCAUGCAGAAUUGGAUUGUGGGCUUAUUUACCCAUUCGAUUUUAACGGGGAAUUAUUAGUUAAUAAACUCCUGAUAGCAUGGAGAGGCUUGCUAGCUGUAUUUGAUAGAUCUAAUAAUAUACUUCGCACGUAUUAAUAUAGUACUCUCUUCGUUUCUAAAUAGUUGCUGUUUUAGUUGCAGGGAGUACUAUCUACACUUCGUUUGUUCAGAUUUCAUUCAACUGUUUUUUUAGUCAGCAGGCCCCGCUAGUGGUGGAGCUAAAAAAUUACUUUGCAUGAGGCCAUCAUAGUGUAUGAGAGUUAAGAGAAAGUAUAAUUGAGAAAGAGAAGCUCCGGACCAAGCUUAAAAUCAGUGUAAUUUAUCAACAAAAAAAUCUCAAGACCCAGGCCACGGCCCGCCUUGUCUCCGCAUAUGGGCCCCGCGGCUUCUUAUAUUAACAAACCACAGCGUAACAACAGGAGAUACAAAUAAGUAUGCAUUCAAUUGUGCAUUUGUGUUAUACUGUUUUUGUGGUUUGGGACGCGACACUGUCGCUAGUAAUAUUUACCUAUAAUUGAAGCCCACAAUAGGGUAGAAUCAAUCCUCGCUCCCGUGCUGAUUUGUUUUGGCCAUCUUAAGUACUUGUUCUUUAUUCUCAUUUCCUAUUCUCACCUUUGGAAAAUGAUGAAAGAAACAAGAAAAGUGAAAAGUGUGGUCGAUCUAGAUCUUGGACGCACGCGUCUAUCAAUUCAAAUAGACCGAAUAAUUACCAGAAUGGAAUGAAAAUGGGAGGAGAAUGAUGUGGGAAGUCAUUCUUGUUGCACCAUGAUUGCUUCAAAAGAAAAGGAAAAGAAUAACAUCUUAGGGGUGGUUUAGAGACAGUAGCAAAGGGGAGAAAUAAAGGAGAGAAACGCAGGUGGCCAGCAUGACAAGCUGAUGGAUGCCAUUUGUUGCAUGCCUCUUCUCCCUAGCUAUCUCGUUUGUUUUCUACUCCGUACCUAGCUACUCUCUCCGUUUCAUAAUUCUUGUCUCAAAUUUGCUUUAAAAUGAAUGUGUCUAUUUCUAAAAAAUGUCCAGAUACAUGUAAGAUGACAAAAAUUAUGGAACGGAGGGAGUAGAUUUCUUCAUCCACUCCAUUGGCGUGCAAGCCAAGAUGUGUUGUGUGUUAUGUAAAUGUAUGAUGCAUGCAUGUACAUGUGUGCCGAUGGGGCUGAAGUUGCAUCAAAGCAACUUCUUUGGAUGCAACAAGAGAAAGGCAAGUUUAAUUGUUGUGAACGAUGCCUGUACCCCCCACAUGAGGUGGCAUGUUCCCCUCUGAAAGCAUGGGUGUUUGUGAUCUUUAUUUAGGCCCUGGUGACGAUCUGUAACCAAUGCAAGCCCCUGAUUGAGGAAAAGGAAAAGGACACUUUUGUGGUACCCCCAUGAGUGAGCAGUCGCCUUAACUAAAACAAACAAAUCCUGAUAUGGUGCCCUGGAAAAGGGGGGAAAAGAAAAGAAUAUAGUAGAGUAAAAGUGAGACGAGGAGAUCUCAUCUUUUCCAAGGUUGUUCAUGACCCACUUGAACAUGUCUUGGACUUUGAUCACGAGAGAGAAAGAUGUGUCUCAUGCCAUUGCUUCCACCGCAUCCCCAUCCACACAAGGACACGCACCUUCAGUUCAUCUUUGCACCUUAGCUAUAACUUGCUUUAUUCAAAUACUCCAACGUCUUUACCUUUCUAGUAGCUGCUUGCGAAUCUAUAUAUCUAUCUACCAAAUUCAUGGAACUAUCUAAUGAUGAUGGAUCACACCUUUGUUUGGCAUGGUGGUGGUGGUGUCUCUGGAUCCAUUUGGAAUUGAAUUCCUUGCUUCUUUCUCAUGGGCUGCCGCAUGCACCGUCAUAGGAAGUUGUGAUGUUGUUGUGGUGGUGUGUCAAGGUCCAACUGCCCAGAUUAAAGCUCCCCUAAAAAUUAAAGUAAUAAGUGCAUACGCAUGUAGUAUAGAUCGAAUAGGUCGGAUGAAAAGCAGGCAUGCAUGGUUUGGAAUGGAUUGGAUGCUAUGCGCCUAGGGAGGGGCUCAUCUCGAUCACAUUCCACUAUGGCAGGUUGGCCUAACUUGUUCCUUCCCGGUGGAGUGGUGCCCUGCUGCCUGCUGCUAGCUAGUACAGUAUUAUUGCCGUCCAUUGUGUUGGCCACCUAUGUAAAGGUGGUGUGGUGCCAACGCCUUUGGCGCCAUUGAAGUCAUCAUCGAUCGGGUGGCUUCUGCUUACCACGUCACUGUUACUCUUGGCUAGAGUACUGUUGUCUCGUUUGCCAUGGCGGCAUAUGCAUGCGUGCAUGCUUGUGCAACUGCACAAUGAUUUUUAUUUGCUCGGCUGAUUAGUUCAGCAGUAAUAUUGAACAGCCUUUAAAAUAAUACGAACUAAAUAAUCAUUUUUGAAAGUAAUAUUGACGUCGAUUCCGUAAUCAGCUUCUGUUAAUUUGCUCUCUUAAUUUCAGUCGUGCCUUAAUUUCAGUCGAAUUGUUGAGUUUGUGGACGAAACACAAGUUACAUCCAUUUAAACAUGCAUGGAUCAUGCAACUAAGUAGCUUGUGGAAGUUAAUUAGUUCCAAUCGGUUUGGGCGAGACCAACUGGAACUAAUCAGCUUUGUCCAGGCCAACUGAAACUAAUCAGCUUUGCCUAGACCAACUGAAACUAAUCGGGUUCGGCCAGGCCGACUGGAGUAAAUCGGCCUGGCCCAGACCGAGGGCGUAUUAUUUUUUAUUUUUUUAAAAAACGUGUAUUAUUUUAAAAAAUGAUUAAAUAAUUUGUAUUAUUUAAAAAAAAUUAGCGAAGGCCAAGUCCCUAGUGCUAUUAAAAUAUCCUUCAACCUUGUAAAUAGUGUGGAUUCAUAUGUUGAGGUAUUUGUCCGGUGCCCAUACCUUCCAGACGAGGACAUCGAAAGGCUGAGGUAGCCAUGCAUAGACAGUGUAGAGCACAACUUAUUAGUUUUUCCUGCAAAGAUCGACCGGCUUUAAUUUUAGCCAACUCCUAGAGUUUCUGCUUCCAUGUUUGUUGUUGCUCUUGAUUGUGACGAUUGUCGUUAUUGGGGCAUGAAUCCGCAGAAGCUGAAGCUGAACAGCAAGGUGACGCCGACAUCGAACUAAUCCGCAGACCACAGGCAUUAACUUGCUACCGCUGCCUACCAGGCUUCAUCAUAUCAGGCCGGGGAAUCCAUCAUAUCUGAAAGUGCAACGCAUAAUUACUCAGAUGGCUGAAGCCCGCACAUGCACACAUAUAUUGCCACACAGAAUUGUCCACAUCAGCUGCAUUGCAUUGCAUUGCCGGGCCAAAAUGAUGUGCCUUUGGAAGAGAGGACGUGCCAGGCGUGCUUCGUUAUUCCACAGCGACCAAAGACAUCCCCGUGUAGUUGGCACGAUGUUCACACGAGUAUCGCCAGGACCAGAAUGAAUAUUGGCCCGACUAAACUGGUUUCUCGACAGUCGACACCACGGCCCAGGAUUUACUGCAGCCAUUCGUACAUUGCAGCCCGGCCCAUAUCCCCUUCCCGUUUUGAUCACUUGUUAAUGGUUCACAUGACUUUUGUUUCUUGUUUCUUUUUUAUCUUUUUCAUCAUCAAUUAUGCCCUACAAAGGUUGUGUUUCUGUUCAUAGUGUGUCCAUAAAUCUUAGACUUCCACUCUGUGGACGACACAUGCGUCUAUUGAAAAGCUAUACGGUCUAGUUUAUGCAGCCUUCGUAUACUCAAGUUCCAUUAUAUUUAGGACCGUCAAGAUAUUUAACGCAUAGAUUCAGAGAUUUUAGCUCCAAAUCUUUGUUGCUGAUGUUUGUUUAAGUUUAUUCCUGACAGCAAAGAACAUUUGUGUGAAUUGGUUGAAAUGUUUUUUUUUAUAAUCAAUAGGCCUCUCAUGUCGCUGAUAUUUGUUUAAGUUUAUUCCUGACAGCAAAGAACAUUUGUGUGAGUUGGUUGAAAUGUUUUUUUUUUAUAAUCAAUAGGCCUCUCAUGUCGCCCCGUUCCAACUGCGGAACCUAUGUUUCGGCCAAAAUCACCCACUCCGGAAAAUAAUCUUAAAAGAUCUGGCCACUCCUCCAGGCUGAAAGACCAAGUACAUCUUGUGACACGUGAAAAAUUCAAUGCAUCACAAUCAUGAUUAUUAUUUUUAUUUUCUCACUUUUGAUGCUUUGAGAUUAGUUUUAGAGACUAAUCCAUCCAAGGGCAGAGAGACCUCGUCACUUGUCACAGCCCAAUCAAAAGGAAUCGGAACAUCCGUGACAGUUGAAGCCUAGUGCGGUGCGGCAACUUCAAAUCAAGAUUUCAAGUUGCGAGGAACCUUUGGCUUGUCGCCAGCAUGACAUACUGACACGCCCUCAAAAAGGGAGGGAAAUGUGUGCUCCAGCAUAUGUACAAAGUUAAGCUUUAAAAAAAAGCAUAUGUACAAAGUAUAGUACAACAUAAAAAGUGGCACCAGAAAUAAAGUUAUUCUCAACAAGUUCGAACCUUGCAAAAGCCACGUACAAACCGUGACCAUUGAAAAAGAUGGCUGGAAGAUGUGCAUCGCCUUGUCAUGCAAUACUUAAGAGUUCAAGAGAAUAGUAGACCCACACACAAACAAAUCACUUGGGAUGCAGCAUGAUCCAAUGAAUAAGCAAAAUGCAUCUACAGAAUGUCAAAACCAGUGCUCACAACCUACUUUGAUUCAAAAGGUAAAAACUUUUGUCACAAAAAAGAAUGAUUAUUCUUGCUCAAACUCUUUAAAAUCGGACAGGGGAAAUGUAAAGAGCACAAAAUGGUUGCAACGGAUACUUGCCAGAAUCUCCUUUCAAGGACACAAUCAGACAAAUAGCAUCGUCAUUUACAAUGAUGCCAUAACAAUCUCGCCUGUAAUUGCUGAUACACGUCGAAAACAGAAAAGACAAUUGUCGAUCCAAUUGGACGGAAUACAUACACCGGAAGGUUAUGCAACAGCUAAACAUAGAAUUGUUCAAAUGCUCCAUACUGAAUACCAAUUAGACAGAAGGGUAUACUUCAGAACGUGAAGAAGAAUAUGUCAUUAACAGGGUAUCUAACAAAAUGUCAUUAAAUGAGUGCCAGUGUAUAAGAACGAAAAGUGAUAGAGCGCCACCAAAAUACAAGACUCUAGUGAGAACCCAGUGGUAACACAUACACAGUCAUUCAAAGAAAAAGAUUAAACAACACUCAACCCACUAGAGCCAAAGAGGGAAAGUUGCAUUCAUAUGGUGUCUUCAUUGGAAAACAAAGGCUUUGCAUUUCUCUGCUGCUGCUGCAACCUAGUAAAUCCACACAAAAAAACAUUACUUAUUUUUUGAGAGGAAAAAGGCAUUUCUUCUCAACCGCACAAAGUUAAGAAUGAUUAUCAGCUCACAGGAAUAACAGAAGACCCAAUCACCCGCAUCAGCAAAUAGGACAAAAAAACAGAAAACGGCUAAAAACCGAACAGACUAAUCAACGAGGGAUAGGAUGCAAAUUGAACAGGAUGGAAUGUUAUGAUACUAACUGAACAAUCUAAAUAGCUUGAUCUAAACACCAAAAGAAAACAGAAAAAUGGCACAGAACUGAAACAACAUCGACACAUACAGACAUGAUUGCAGUUUAUAAGUGCAUAUAUGACAAUUGCAAGUAACAUCAAGCAAGUUAACAACGCUACUGGAGUCAAGCAGUGUAACAAACAGUGACUUAGUUCAUUAUCACCAACACCAAUCCUAGGAUGGCUAAUUACUCUAACUCAGUUCAUUGUCAAGUCCAGCUUCUAGCUAGUGAAUCAUAUUUUCCAUCGGUUGAUCCAACUCAGCACACAAUCAGUUGUGUACAGCAUACGUACCACUGAAGGAAUAGCAUGAUUAACCUCCAACUGCCUGAACUCAUCAUCCAUGUUGGGCUCCUUUCAUCCUUUGCACCUUUCUAUCCCAGCACUGGCAACGCUGGAAUGAAGAAAUUAGACUCUGAGGAUCUGCAGUUUAUUGGCGAAUGCAAUGGCAACCCAGUCAGGCUGGGUUGCUGACCACUGCAGCUGCUCAACCUCUGCUCCUGCCGUGUAAGCCAGUAUGGGGUCAAGACCGCCCUCUGCUGCUGCAGCCGCAGCAGCAUUGCCAUUUCCAUUGCCACUACUAUUGUUCCCAGUGCCCAUGGAGGAGAGGUCCCAUAUCAGUGCCUGUGAGUCAUCCCCAGCCGUGCAAAUGUGGCAUGAAGAGUGAGGCGCCCAUGCGAUAGCAUUGACAGGGGCAUGGUGGCGGUGGAGCUCGACCACAGGCAGUGUUGGGUAGCGUAUAUCAAGCACAACAACCUUGGGGCUAUCCAUGAUGAUGGUGGCCAUGUACCUCGGGUCCUGCUUGUUCCACCCCAGCCUAACCAAUGGCGUCGGUGACAAAGCCCCACCAUCAGAAGCAGCAGAAUUGGAGCCACUGCCAGAACUACUCUCAUAGAUAAUUGUGGAAUGCUCCUUAUCGCGAAGAUCAAACACACGGACAGAGCCAUCCGCAGAGACAGAUGCAAAGACACCAGCGCCACCCCAGGCUAUGUCGUAGACCUCUUUGUCAUGGGCGAUGAGCUGAGUAUCUACGGCCUCGCGCUCGACAUCCCAGAUGGUGCAUGUGGUGUCGAUGGACGAUGUUCCGAUGCGACGCGGGUCGGCAUCAUUCCAGUCGAAGGAGGUGAGAGGGCCGCAGAAGUCGCUGUUGCGGUUGCCGUUGAGCUCGCAGCGCAGCACAGCGCCCGGCUGCUGACCGGCGCUUUCCACGCCGUUGCAGCGGACGGAGCCAGAGUUGGAGUUGGCGGCAGCGUCGGCAGCGGCGUCGUCGUCGUCCGUGAUACGCCAGAUGCGGAGGAGGUCGGCGGAGGUGGCGAGCAGAUCGGGGCGGACGGAUUGGGGGUCCGGGACGAACAUGGUCUUGGUGGGCGGGAAAGGGUGGUCGAAGGAGAGCACGGGGGUGAUGUCGCCGGAGGACUCGUCGAGCUGGACCACCUCGACGCGGUUGACGACCUGUUCCAGCAGGCUGGCGAUGGCGAGGCGGUACUUCUUGUCGCGCCGCACGCUCCAGUUCAUGCCGUAGAUGUGCCACGGGGCCUCGUAGGUGUAGAUCUCCGACCGCUUCGCCUCCGCGCCGCCGCGGCUUCCGCCGUUGCCCUGCUCCUGAUCCGCCCAGCCGUCGCCGUCCCCGACUGCGCCGCCGCCACCCAUGUUGCCGCCGCUCUCUUAAGGGGAGAAGGGGAAAUUUUUGGAUUUGGGGGUUCCUGAAUCUCGUCUUGAUAGGGAAAGGGGAAAAGUGGUGUGCGGCGAGGAGGUGCGGGUUCUGGGUUUGGUCACGACGAAGAGCCGAGAAAAAGGUCACAACUCACAAUGCAGUGCAGUAGGGCUGCGUCAGUCGGGCCGAACGCAAGGCCCAAUAAGGACGGAGAAGCAUGAUUGAUGACCCGGAAUGGUUUCCCUCAGGUCGGCCCACAAUUCCCAUUGGAAGAAGAGGAGGGGCGUUGGGGAACAGAGGACGAUAGCGAGGUCGCCGGAGAGAGAGAAAGAGAGAGCGCGCGGCGAUGGCGUCCGGCUGGGGAAUCAACGGGAACAAGGGGCGGUGCUACGACUUCUGGGUGGACUUCAGCGAGUGCAUGAGCCGCUGCCGCCAGCCCAGCGACUGCGUCCUCCUCCGCGAAGACUACAUGGAGUGCCUCCACCACUCCAAGGAGGUGCGUGUUUAUCCUCAUCGCCCCCCUCUCCCACCCUGACCAUAGACGGAUCCAUACAGAUCCAUACCUCUUCCAUUCACCACCCGCAACUACCACAUAGAUAUAGGUAGGUAGGGAUCUAUCCUUCCUUGUGUCAUCUAUCGCCGCAAGAAAUACUGGCCGCUGGUCUAGAUCCGUCUGCGGUCAUAGGUUACCCUGGAAUUUCAGAACCGUGCAGUGUUUGGUGUCAGUAUCGGUGCGAAGGGGAAAAAUGUUUCUAGUGAAAUCGAGCCACUGGUGGCUUAUUACUGACAUGUGCUGUGUUCAUUCGUAGGCAGAGCCUAGUUGUAAUUAUCAGUCUUCAGAACCUGUUCCGCGUAGACAAGCUUAUUGAUUCAGAUAAUUAUUAUUGCUUCUGGGAUGGAAGUGUAGAAAUCAUAUUGACCUACCUAUUUCCUUCUGGGAUGGCUGACGAGAUCCAAUGCUGAAUCAUGUUUCCUUUAAAUGGAACUGUCCCUGGUUUCUUUGAACCAAUAGAAAUUCAAAGUUCCUAGUAGAGAUAUUUUCUGGUCGUGGCAGAAGUGAACCUGAAUAUGCAGGCUUCUAGGGUCUGUAUUGGGGACGCUUUUUUAUGUGUAGGCAUGAUAAUACCCUUUGAAUUGAGGUCAAAUUCUAAAAUUGAAUUCUGAAACAUCCAGACGACCUUUGAAUUGGAAUCAUAAUUCCAAUUCCUCAUUCUAAGCCUAAUUCUACAUCCAAACAGGGUGUUAGCAACAUGGUUACGCUCGGGCUCAUAUAACCUGAUACAUAAGUUUCUUUUCUGUAUUUUGCACCGUAGAUUUUAUCAAGCUAGAUGGAAAAUCCAGUUGAGGAUUACGGGCUCCUUCAAAAAUCUAGUAUCAUGUUGAUCUACUUAUUUCCUUCUGGGAUGGCUGACAAGAUCCAAUGCUGAAUCAUGUUUCUUUUCAAUGGAGCUGUCCCUGGUUUCUUUGAACCAAAAGAAAUUCAAACUUCGUAGUAGAGAUAUUUUCUGGUUGUGGCAGAAGCGAACCUGAAUAUGCGUGCUUCUUCUAGUCUGAACUCUACUAUUCUGCACUUCCAUUCACUGUGUUGGUUGACUUCAAGAGCCAAGAUGAGCUGAUUGAUUCAUUGUGGUAGCAUCUGCACUUGGAAUUUCAGACGGGCCUUUGUGAUGUUUUUUGCCAGUAUCGAUAUGGAGGAACUGGUUGUUCAUGGCAUAUUGACAUUGGCAUCAGACAUCCCCUGAUUUUCUUUGCAGUUCAUUUUUCUUCGCUAUAGAAUUGAGCUUUAAGGGUUCAUCUGAUGUUCAUUAUAGGCAGCAUCAGUGUAGCCAACUAGGGAGUUGAAAUUCCUCAAAAAUCUAGUAUCGGCGUGUUUGGAUAGACGAGGGUAGAGAUUCCUUAGAAUAGUGAUAUUGGAAAUGCAGCAUGGGACAAUAAUAUGCUUCAUUUCAUCGUGUAGUGUAGACAAGUUAACUUAGAGUGCUGCAAUGGAACGCGUAUUGGAGUCUUAUGUGUAAUCUCCUAGGUUCGUUUGGACUUUAGAAAUGAAUUGGGUCACCAAUUCAUUUUUGUGUUGAAAUGGAAUUGGUGUAUGAUUAUAUUUCUUUCGUUUGGAUUGCUUGUGAAUUGGUGUUGUGGAAUCACAAACAAAUUCUAUUCCAAAUAUUGUUUGGAUGUUACCCUUAGGAAUUGAUCCAGUACUGGACGCUAUCUCCUCCUGAGCACUGGUACACAAUCACCACUCGACCCAGCAGUUAACGUUAAUGUCCCUUCCGUUAGCCUCCGCUAUCCCAUGUUCUGACACCUUUUUCUGCCCAAUGUGUCAGUGUCAUGACCCUUCCCUUUGUCUCUGCUUCUACUGCUUGCUUUACAGUGUACGAGUUAUCAAUCAAGUAGUGACUUGCAUGCACGCAGCAUGUGAUAGCUGAAUGUGUCUUUGCAAGACACUAAUGUGACUCGAUCUACAAACUAGCGAGACUUGAUCUUAUAACCAACAAGGCCGCAACAGAGAAUGUGCUAACAUGGAGGCCACAGGCCAGCACUCGCUGGUUCUCAGACGUGCUGCUCGUCAGCCACAGCUACUCCCCUUCCUAUGGCUUGACGUAGGCAUUGGGAGAAUAAGCUAGAGUGUGUGUUGGUUGAGGGCUCUCGUGGCAACUCAGCGAAGGCAGAUCUAGCCGGAGUUGAGGAAGUAGAGGCUGUAGGCAUCAGGAGUUGUGGGGAGCUCUCCGGGCCGAGCUCACGAUAGCAGCGGUCAUUGAUAGGAGUCAGCCCGUGGGUGCUUGUCGGCGAUGGUUGCCCGAAGGAGGUCGCAAUAGCAGCAGUUGCCAGAAGGAGUUUGCCCAUCAAAGCUCGUCGGCAGCGGUUACCGGAAAGAGCUCGCCGGCAGUGGUCGACAGUAACUUGCAGUGGAAUGCUGUGCUCGUGAUAGAGUCAGAACGUUUCAGCUCAUACGAUGGAUUCCAGCCUAUACAGAGCUUCUAGGGUCUGAAUUGGGGACGCUUUAUGGGUAGGCAUGAUAAUACACUUUGAACUGAGGUCAAAUUCUAAAAUUGAAUUCUGAAACAUCCAGACGACAUUUGAAUUGAAAUCAUAAUUCCAAUUCCUCAUUCUAAGCCCAAUUCUACAUCCAAACAGGGUGUCAGCGACAUGGCUACGCUCGGGCUCAUAUAACCUGAUACUUAAGUUUCUUUUCUGUAUUUUGCGUCCUGGAUUUUAUCAAGCUAGAUGAAAAAUCCAGUUGAGGAUUGCGGACUCCUUCAAAAAUCUAGUAUCAGCAUGUAUGGAUAGACUAAGGUAGGUAUCCAUUAGAGUAGUGAUCAUCUGGUUCAAAAUCCAUUGUAGGCUUGAUUGCAGGAAGUACUAUUGGGGUUUCAAGUUUUAACCUGUUUCAUUUCCUUGUUUUUUUGUACACAACAAGGUUAAUAGUAGCAGUUGGAAAAGAUGGCAUGUUGAAGUGUUGUGUUGUUACCCAAAUAACCCACUACUUAGGCUUCUUGUCUAUAACUUACUCCCUAAAUAUUGUGAAACAAACUAGUAAUUCAUUCGGCGAAUAUAUGACUAGAACUAGAAGAAAAAGGGAAUGCUGCGAAAAGGAGAAACAUUAUCUGCGUCUAUAUUUUCCUGGCAUGCCUGAUGCAAUAUUGUGCUGAACGAUGUUUUGUUUAAAAGGGAUAAGCUCUCGGUUUUUUAGAACCCAAAGAAAUUCUGAGCUUUACCUAGUAAAUUAUUCUACUCGGGAGAUAAAAUGAAGUUGGACGCAAAUCUCCGGUCUGAAUAUUAAUAUGCACUUCAUUUUCAUUAUGUUGCAUGAUUUUAAGAACUGAGAUGAGGUGAUGGGGAAAAUAUACUAAAGCCUUUGUGAUUUCUUCUGCUGCAGUUCCAGCGCAGGAACCGGAUUUACAAGGAGGAGCAACGUCAGAUAAGAGCUGCAGCUCGCAAAGCCAAGGAGGAAGCUGAGGGAACCCCUGCCGUUACAGCUCACCACUAGCGCCCCUUUUAAUUCUUUUUCUGUAUGUUUUUUGUUUGCUGUGAGCAUUUCUUUGGCUGGCUGUGAUGCUAUGAGCAGUGCAAUAAGUCUCCACAUUACUGUUGGACUACACAGACUUGUACACCUUGCACUUCAUGACUUCCAAAUCUUGAGUUAGCCUUUGUGGUGAAGUUUGUCCAGUGAUAAUGAUGCUUAAUUCAAUCACAGAACUUUUUAACAUUCAUUUCUAAUCUUCAUGAUAAUUUACUGGAAUUCGCAGUUGAACUUUCGUUUGUUUAAACUGCAUUAGAAGUUGAGGUGUUUGAAGUUGGGAUGAUCUUUGGCUGUUCCUGUUGCUUUAAAUGCUUGCACUCCCUCCUAUCCAUAACAAUUCUGGCUGAUUUAGUACAAAUUUGUACUGAAUCAGCAAAGACUUAUUAUGGAUUGGCGGGAGCAACAAUAUUGUUCAGGUUUCUACCUUUUCUGAUUGCUAACACAUUUAUGUGGUUAAGGGUGUUUGUCAUCGGACGACCUUACACAUGAAUUUCAUUAAAGUGCUUCUUGAUAAGAAGCUGCAACAACUGGAGAGAAGUUCAGAAUUUUGCUCUGAUGUUUAGUUGUAUGAUCAAGAUACAGUAAGUUGGCAAGUCACUGAAAAUUGGAGUAGUGUGCCUGCCAGUCCUGUUUAUGGUAAGCACAAUUACGGAACAAUGUUGCCAGAUCCUUCUGUUUUUUGACAAAUAGAGGGCAUUCCCUCCGGGGGCCGGUAUCCUGUGCAUCCGGAUGUCCCGUGCAUCCAGGGUCUGUCCACCGGCCGUUCCACAUCCAACGUAACAGAUUGGAAACGUGAAAUUUUUGCAAAUAAGCACCAUCAGCCUCUCUGUUUUAGUUUUGUCCUAUAUAUAAUUGUUAAACAAAACUCAGCUAAUGCAGUCGCCCCAAAUCCAGUUUUCCCUUUUCUGCAAUCAUCUUUACAAAUCUCACCGCGAUUUGGCGAUCCUCGAGACGGCGGCCAACGACGCAGCCCUGGUGUAUAAUCUGGUGCAUAACAGAGAUUUUUGCAAAUCUCUGUUUCACUGCAAAGAUCUGGUGUAUAAUCUGGCGGAGACCUGCAAGAACCCCGAGGACUUAGCUACCAACACAGCGAUGACCACGUCCUGCACGAGUGCAGGCGAAGGCCUGUGACCAUCCCGGCGACCUCCCUCGCCCUGUUAUGCUGGUGAUGAUGACCCUGUUCCGACGGAUGGGUGUACUGAACCCAAGUACAUUUACGCGUUGUGAAUUUUCAAACUGCCGACUGACUCAAUUGCUCUACAAAUUGACGAAUGUGAUGAUAGAAUUUGGUUCAGAUGCAAAUGAAUUGCUAGCUGAUGCGGAUGUACACCUCUUCAAAUUGAUUAGGAGAUCUGAAAAGAAGGUUGGACAGCAGGGAUGCCUGCAGAACCUGGACCUGAACGUGAUGCGAUUGAAGAAAAAUAAACAUCAGCUCAUCCCAGAUUGAUGCGUCUGGCCGGCACACCCUGAAUCGCCGGCCGAUCACACGAGGUCAUCAGGGUCGGGGUUAUUAGGCUAUUGAGUUAGGAAAAUAUGGUGUAAUUGCAAAGCAUGCAAUCUAAAUAACCAAGUUGAAGGCAGGCGGGCGUCUAAUUGUAAAUUUUCCACUUUUCUGAUCUGUGCCGUUUGGAGAUGUAUCGAGUGAUGGUGAGGCCGCGGAUGCAUGGAUACACGAAGGCAGCCGCCGGAUGCAUAAGAUACAGCGCCUUCCUUCCGGUUUCAUUAAAAAAAAACAACCAUGUGUCUCUUAAUACAACUUAAAUAGAUGGCAUCAAAAUGAAAAAUCAGAGACAAAAGCAGCGAGCUACUCCCAGCCUCUUGCACUCUAUAAACCUAAGAUGGCAUUAACAGCUACCACCUCUCUACUACACGCACUCACACCAAGCAACAUCUUGAUAGCAAACGUCGAGGAUCGAUCAGAAGUUUUUCACACAGUGCCCCUCCGCACAGCCUGAAACAACUAGUCAGCCGGAGAGUAAAUGGCGCCCACCCUUGUGCACGAUUAAAGGCUUCUUGCCACAACCGGUGUGCGAGCAGCUGCGAAGCAAUUCCUGUAGAAAACCUUUCUAUAAGCCAGCCCAAGAAUAUUAGAUCCUUCUGUUGUGGUGGUUUACCUUUACCACGUUUUUUGGGAUGUUCUCGGGAUGGCAUUUGUGCAUUAUUCUUGACGGAAAUGUUGCAAGGCCGUGGCCUACUUUUUCUCUAAAACCUGCAAUGUGAACUGUAAAAUUAGCGAUUCUGGUGAACAACGAAGUCUGCUCCCUGCUAACUGACAUGAAGUAUUGGCUAUUCCCCGAGGGCCGAUCUGAAUCCUGCUAUUGUUUUGAUCGAACAAGGCAGCUGCUAGAGCGGCAGACGGACGAUGCGCAAAGCAUGGUCCAGGGUUUUUAACUUCCUUUUCGAAAGAACAAAAAAGAUUAGCUGGCAUGUCUUCUAAUUGGAUAUUGUUAGUACCUUCGAAAAUAUUUGCGGUAGUUUUUUCCAAAACAUGAUAUGAUAUCGUACAAAUGGUUUGGAAAAAAUAAGGAGCUCAACAGUAGACAUUUCAUAUUUAUAUUGCUAAAUUUGCUCUAUCUUUACAGCUCGCACUAAUUUUAUUUUUCACAAAAACUUAUCAGAUUGUAAAAGAUAGCAACUCCUUGCAUGGUUAAUUAUCUCUAAGGUCAAGGUGCAUCAAUCCUGGGGGACGAGCUCUUCUGAAAUAUUGGGGCGAACGGUCUUCGGAUGCUGAAAGCCAUCACUUGGUGAGGCUGUCUUCAGGUUUUGAGAAGACAAUGGAUUUCUGAUAAUUUCAGGUCUUCAGGUCCAACUCCAGAGGUAAUUGUUUGAACUUGUGAUAAUCUCAGUGAAACAUGUAGUCCACGUUGUACGAUUUCCCGGUAGUCUAUUCUUGUUGUGUUACCCGCAUUUCAGUAUCUGCAAACCUGUGAUAUGUGGACUGCUUACAUGCUUUGCAUAUCCAGCUUAUUGUUGUAAACAUAACUUUCAAUACAACUCGAGUAACUGCAUGGGUCAAGGUUGGGGAAGAUUUGCGUAAAUUUCCCAUGAUAUAUUCUAGAUCGGCACUUGGAAAUCACUGAUCAGCAUCCGCUUCGUUUACUAACUCAACAAGCCACGCACACCAAGCUGAUCCUAGCCCUACAUGAUUUUUUUCUUUUGCGGGAAUGAUUUUCAUUGCCUCGACCAAUACAAACUAUGUAGCUCCCCUGUUUAGAUGUUUACGAAUAGUAAGUACAAAAUUCGCAAAUGCUAGUACAAGGUAGAUACGGAUCCAGGAUUCCAGGGAUUUAACAAGGGCAUGGCACCAGGGAACCUCAUUUCUUUGAUGCAAAAGUCACUGGGAGACGAAGGAGAUCCAUGGAUACAGUGCUGAUGCUAUUGGAUCAUCAGUAGGGCUUGAGGUAGUCAAAGAGAUGGUCACGGAAGGAAGAAGCCGUCUCCGUGCUCGCCGCCAGCGACCCGACGGCAGACGGCGACGACGAGGCCGUUGGUUCGCCGCCUCUCGGGCUCUCCUGGCACGUGCCUGCAGCUGGCGGCGGCAGAUUUCCCUUCCCUGUCUGUAUGUGCAGCGCCGUCGUCUGCGGCGGCCGCCGCCGCCUCUGCUGCUCCCUCCGCUUGCUCACGUACUCCUCGUGGAUGAACGCUUCCAUCCCCUUGCAACUAGAGGUCGCUGCAAAUCCCCGGGAAGAAUGUAGUAAGAUCUAGCUAGGAGGAGAAGAGAGGAGAUGAAGUGAUUGCCUGAUUGGUGAAGAGAAGCAGAAUGCCUGUGUCUUUGUAGGCGAUCUGGUCGACUGGUCAAUUAUUGCCGUGUUUUGACACUUGUACAAGCGAUGCCGGAUUAGGCCGCACUAGUGCCUGGGAGCAGAGUUAGGAGUAUAAAACUGACUACUGAUGUAAACAUGGACUUGUUGUUUGUCCGGAAUCGGAUACUACUCCUUCUUUCCUCCUGCUGCUGCUCCCCUCUCUCUCUCUAACUCGAUCUUAUCCGAUGCUGUUGAUUUGCUGCUCUGGUCCCUAUCUCUUACCUGAAUUACGACCUUAAGUAAUGCUUAC